rnacentral:rRNA from 1 species
AUUGAACGCUGGCGGCAUGCCUUACACACGCAAGUCGAACGGUAACAGGUCUUCGGAUGCUGACGAGUGGCGAACGGGUGAGUAAUACAUCGGAACGUGCCUAGUAGUGGGGGAUAACUACUCGAAAGAGUGGCUAAUACCGCAUGAGAUCUACGGAUGAAAGCAGGGGAUCGCAAGACCUUGUGCUACUAGAGCGGCCGAUGGCAGAUUAGGUAGUUGGUGGGAUAAAAGCUUACCAAGCCGACGAUCUGUAGCUGGUCUGAGAGGACGAUCAGCCACACUGGGACUGAGACACGGCCCAGACUCCUACGGGAGGCAGCAGUGGGGAAUUUUGGACAAAGGGCGCAAGCCUGAUCCAGCAAUGCCGCGUGCAGGAUGAAGGCCUUCGGGUUGUAAACUGCUUUUGUACGGAACGAAAAGCCCUGGGUUAAUACCCUGGGGUCAUGACGGUACCGUAAGAAUAAGCACCGGCUAACUACGUG